GACGAACGCUGGCGGCGUGCUUAACACAUGCAAGUCGAACGGUGAAGCGCCUUCCUUUUUGGUGGGUGUGGAUGAGUGGCGAACGGGUGAGUAACACGUGAGUAACCUGCCCCCUUCUUCUGGAUAACCGCAUGAAAGUGUGGCUAAUACGGGAUAUUCUGGGUCUGUCGCAUGAUGGGUCUGGGAAAGAUAUUGUUUCGGUGGGGGAUGGGCUCGCGGCCUAUCAGCUUGUUGGUGGGGUGAUGGCCUACCAAGGCGGUGACGGGUAGUCGGCCUGAGAGGGUGGACGGCCACACUGGGACUGAGACACGGCCCAGACUCCUACGGGAGGCAGCAGUGGGGAAUAUUGCACAAUGGGCGCAAGCCUGAUGCAGCGACGCCGCGUGAGGGAUGGAGGCCUUCGGGUUGUGAACCUCUUUCGCCAGUGAAGCAGGCCUGCCUCGUUUGUGGGUGGGUUGACGGUAGCUGGAUAAGAAGCGCCGGCUAACUACGUG
rnacentral:rRNA from 1 species